AAUGGGCGAAAGCCUGAUGCAGCAACGCCGCGUGAGCGAUGAAGGCCUUCGGGUCGUAAAGCUCUGUCCUCAAGGAAGAUAAUGACGGUACUUGAGGAGGAAGCCCCGGCUAACUACGUGCCAGCAGCCGCGGUAAUACGUAGGGGGCUAGCGUUAUCCGGAAUUACUGGGCGUAAAGGGUGCGUAGGUGGUUUUUUAAGUCAGAAGUGAAAGGCUACGGCUCAACCGUAGUAAGCUUUUGGAACUAAAGAACUUGAGUGCAGGAGAGGAGAGUAGAAUUCCUAGUGUAGCGGUGAAAUGCGUAGAUAUUAGGAGGAAUACCAGUAGCGAAGGCGGCUCUCUGGACUGUAACUGACACUGAGGCACGAGAGCGUGGGGAGCAAACAGGAUUAGAUACCCUGGUAGUCCACGCCGUAAACGAUGAGUACUAGGUGUCGGGGGUUACCCCCCUCGGUGCCGCAGCUAACGCAUUAAGUACUCCGCCUGGGAAGUACGCUCGCAAGAGUG
rnacentral:rRNA from 1 species